GACGAACGCUGGCGGCGUGCCUAAUACAUGCAAGUUGAGCGCUGAAGGUUGGUACUUGUGCCCACUGGAUGAGCAGCGAACGGGUGAGUAACGCGUGGGGAAUCUGCCUUUGAGCGGGGGACAACAUUUGGAAACGAAUGCUAAUACCGCAUAAAAACUUUAAACACAAGUUUUAAGUUUGAAAGAUGCAAUUGCAUCACUCAAAGAUGAUCCCGCGUUGUAUUAGCUAGUUGGUGAGGUAAAGGCUCACCAAGGCGAUGAUACAUAGCCGACCUGAGAGGGUGAUCGGCCACAUUGGGACUGAGACACGGCCCAAACUCCUACGGGAGGCAGCAGUAGGGAAUCUUCGGCAAUGGACGAAAGUCUGACCGAGCAACGCCGCGUGAGUGAAGAAGGUGUUCGGAUCGUAAAACUCUGUUGGUAGAGAAGAACGUUGGUGAGAGUGGAAAGCUCAUCAAGUGACGGUAACUAACCAGAAAGGGACGGCUAACUACGU
rnacentral:rRNA from 1 species